UACAGAGGGGGCCAGCGUUAUUCGGAAUUAUUGGGCGUAAAGGGCGCGUAGGCGGCCCAGCGUGUCUUCCGUGAAAUCCCUCGGCUUAACUGAGGACGUGCGGAAGAAACUGCAGGGCUCGAGGCCGGGAGAGGGGGGUGGAAUUCCCAGUGUAGCGGUGAAAUGCGUAGAUAUUGGGAGGAACACCGGUGGCGAAGGCGGCCCCCUGGACCGGUUCUGACGCUGAUGCGCGAAAGCGUGGGUAGCAAACGGG
rnacentral:rRNA from 1 species